rnacentral:rRNA from 1 species
CCCUUAGACGUUCUGGGCCGCACGCGCGCUACACUGACCAGUGCAACAAGCAUCCGUCCUUGGCCGACAGGCCCGGGCAAUCUUUGCACGCUGGUCGUGAUGGGGAUAGACUUUUGCAAUUUUUGGUCUUCAACGAGGAAUUCCUAGUAAACGCAAGUCAUCAACUUGCAUUGAUUACGUCCCUGCCCUUUGUACACACCGCCCGUCGCACCUACCGAUUGAAUGGUCCGGUGAAGCCUCCGGAUUGGCGCGCACCUCGGUGCCGCCGAGAAGUUGGCUAAACCUUACCAUCUAGAGGAAGGUGAANUCGUANCA